CGUUGAAACACCGAUUCCCGUAUGAUCACCGAAGUUAAGCAACAUCGAGUCUCGUUAGUACCUACAUGAGUGAUCGCUUGGGAAUAUCAGGACCUGCAAG